AUGCAAGAUCAUGGAUGUUUGCCAGAACGCACUCUUUAUCCUAGAAGCUCAGCAUGUAUAGUCAUGGAGUGGGUUUUCCUUCCUCUCCCCCCCCACCCCUUUUUUUUUUUUUUUUUUUUUAUUUCCUUCUCUUUAUGUGCUUACAUCCGCAGAAAGGCCUCAGCAUCUUGCAGACAUCCCAGGUGUCAGUUUCUUCAGAACAAUCGGCUUGUGAUAAUCCCUGAGUUAACUUUCCCUGAUAUGGUUUGGAGUCAGAAUGGGACUUAAGGCCACUUCAGAAAUUUCCACAGAAAGACAAGCUUCUUGGCAGCCAGAAGAGGGAGCUAAGGAUCUGGCCUAGAUUCUCCAAAACCUCAGAAGAGGAGUUGCUCAGAAGAUGAAGUUACAUGGUAAGAUUGCUCACGUAAUGGCUGAAAAUCACUGAGAAGCUUGAAAUGCUUUCAAAGUUGGUUUAAUUCACACGGAUGGAUUUCCAGCACAGGUAUUAACAUCACCAUAGCUGGAAGCAAUACUACAUUGCUAUUGACUUUUCUCUAUCUAAACAAAGCAGUAUGAGAGAGUUUGGUAGGCACAGCAGUUGAUGCCUUAUUGUCAGAAGUCUGAUUGUUGGUGCUGGUCCUCAGCCAUAAGCUAUAUGACAAGAAAAGAUCUGCUGGCAAGAAAAACUAAAAUCCUAAAGUUUGUUUUUUUUUUUUUUUUUUGAAGUGGGGGUAGACACUUCACAUAUAUGACUCUUCCAUAUACAGGAAAUCAGAUUACUUUCAAAGGCCUGUUUGAAUGUUCCAUCUGUUAGAAAGAAGCUACCAAGACAGGAAAAAAAAAGUCAGAAACAAAAACGUUAUAACCUUAUUUUUCAAAUACUUAUAAACAUUGAUUUUUGACCUGUACUUAAAAACAAUGUAAAAAAAAAAAAAAAAGUGUUUUAGGAAAUAUGUUAGAUACUAAUAGGCAUUGCUGUUUUAAUUACAUGUGUCUGUGUAGGCUAUACAUGAUGACAUACAUAUCCAAAUGUCUAGACUAAGACAUUUAAGACAUUUUAGUUGUGCAACUCAUAUUGAAUUUCUCCUCCUGUCUCCAAAAAAAAAAAAA
rnacentral:lncRNA from 1 species